rnacentral:rRNA from 1 species
GACGAACGCUGGCGGCGUGCUUAACACAUGCAAGUCGAACGAAGUGGCGACCGGGUACGUAACGCGUAAUCAACCUGCCCUUCAGAGGGGGACAACAGUUGGAAACGACUGCUAAUACCGCAUACUGAGGGAGGGGAUUGCGUCUGAUUAGCUAGUGGGAGGGGUAACGGCCCACCAAGGCGAUGAUCAGUAGCCGGUCUGAGAGGAGGAGCGGCGACAUUGGGACUGAGACACGGCCCAGACUCCGACGGGAGGCAGCAGGGGGGAAGCUUCCGCAAUGGACGAAAGUCUGACGGAGCAACGCCGCGUGAGUGAUGACGGCCUUCGGGUUGUAAAGCUCUGUUAAUCGGGACGCGGUACCGGAAUAGAAAGCCACGGCUAACUACGUGCCAGCAGCCGCGGUAAUUC